GACAGAGGUGCCGAGCGUUAGGCGGAAUCACUGGGCUUAAAGCGUGUGUAGGCGGGCGGGCAAGUACCUUGUGAAAUCCCACGGCUCAACCGUGGAACGGCUGGGUAUACUGCCUGUCUUGAGCCAACUAGGGGCGAGCGGAACAGACGGUGGAGCGGUGAAAUGCGUAGAUAUCGUCUGGAACGCCGAUGGUGAAAACAGUCUGCUGGGGGUGUGCCGACGCUGAGACACGAAAGCCAGGGGAGCGAACGGG
rnacentral:rRNA from 1 species